CCGUGCUAGAUGGGGAGGUAGCGGUGCCCUGUAACUCGCAAUCCGCUGUAGCGAGGUUGAAUUCCUGCUUGAGGUUAUGCUGAUGCGAGGCCUGGUGUUCGUGAACAGUGCUGACAGUCGGGUCCUCCGCAAUGGAUACUUGUGAACCCGGUCAGGUCCGGAAGGAAGCAGCCGUAAGCAAGCCCAUCCAUGUGCCGGGGGAGUGCCUGGCUCGAGCUGGAAUCGAGAGUGCCGUUCGGGUCGCAUGGAUCGAGGGCAGGUGCACGG
rnacentral:SRP_RNA from 1 species